UACGAAGGGGGCUAGCGUUGCUCGGAAUCACUGGGCGUAAAGGGUGCGUAGGCGGGUCUUUAAGUCAGGGGUGAAAUCCUGGAGCUCAACUCCAGAACUGCCUUUGAUACUGAAGAUCUUGAGUUCGGGAGAGGUGAGUGGAACUGCGAGUGUAGAGGUGAAAUUCGUAGAUAUUGGGAAGAACACCGGUGGCGAAGGCGGCGACCUGGUCCGAUACUGACGCUGAGGCGCGAAAGCGUGGGGAGCAAACAGG
rnacentral:rRNA from 1 species